rnacentral:rRNA from 1 species
UACGUAGGGGGCAAGCGUUGUCCGGAUUUAUUGGGCGUAAAGAGCUCGUAGGCGGUUUGUCACGUCUGCUGUGAAAACUGGAGGCUCAACCUCCAGCCUGCAGUGGGUACGGGCAGACUAGAGUGCGGUAGGGGAGAUUGGAAUUCCUGGUGUAGCGGUGGAAUGCGCAGAUAUCAGGAGGAACACCGAUGGCGAAGGCAGAUCUCUGGGCCGUAACUGACGCUGAGGAGCGAAAGCAUGGGGAGCGAACAGG